AAGGUGUUUGUGAGCCAUUAGAGGCACUACAAUUGUGGUGCUUGCUUUCAAGAGUUCAAGAGAGUUCAAGAGAUCAAGGAAACUAGUUGUUAUUGCUAUAUAACAACAAAGGUAUGUUUACUACACUUCUAUGUAAUUUUCGAAAAUUAUAGAAGCAUGCCAGGGUUUUAUUUUGUGUUCAUAAAGUUGUAUGUCUUAUAGUGAAAACAUAGAUCCAACUAGGGUUGCAUGCACACAUAGGAUUGUUUGUAUAAAACCUAACAGUGGUAUCAGAGCCAUUGGUUUUUUGUUUUCAAUUGGAUUUGAUGCAUAUUAUGAAUUUGACAAAUUAGGGUUUAUGGCAAGUAAACCCUAAGGCUUGGUGAUUUUCGCAAAUUAGGGUUGCAAAACCCUAGUUGGCGAUUUUUUUUAGGGUUCUUAAAACUCUUUUGCCUAGCCUCCAUAUUUCGAAAAUUAGGGUUAAGAAACCCUAAGGAUUUCGAAAAUCCCUUGCCCCCCAAGAUAAGAUCCCAAGAUUUUAGGGAUUUGGAUAUUGCUAUCUUUAUGAUUAUCCAUUUAAUUGUUUAAACUAGAUAAUUGAAGAUCUUGUAUUAUCCUUUCCAUAUAUUUAAAAAUCUAGGGGAUAAAAGGAUUAAUUAAAUUAAUAAUUUAAUUUUAUGAUAAACCUUAAAGAUUUAAUAGUUCAAAUUAAUUGUUUAAUUUUGAUAAUUAUUAAAUCAAAGUUUUCUUGGUGUUUAAAAUUUUUAAAUUAAAUAGCCUUAAUAUUCGAAAAUUUUAAAUACACAUUAAGAUACUAGUAUUUUGAAAUGCUUUAAAAUACACCCUUAUACAAUUAUGAUAUUAUAAGAUUAAUUAUUAUAUAUGUAUAAGAAUAAGCUAGUCUUAUCGCUAGUAGGCCUCAUUCACGAAGCCGGUCUAUAAGGUGGGUAUAAGGUUGCUGCCUAUAAAAUGGCGCUUAAUGGAUGUACACUCACAUCUACCGCUUGCUUGACUGGUGGAGGGUCGUUAGCCGAACGGAUAGGAUAGGGCACUUAAUUCCUCAUUAAAAGUAUAAUGGAAAUAUUAAAGUAACUACAUUGUUUUACAAAUUCCCACUCUUAGUUACUUUAGGGUAAAAUGUGAAAAUGAUGCUAAUCCAUGGAAUUACACUUCGUACCCUUGUCAAACGUUGAUGGAGCGCGUGUGGUUAACCGGCACAUCAAUUUGGGGAUGACAUAGGUAGCGAAGGGUGACUCGAUGUUUGUCAUAGAUCAAUGGAGCGUGUGUGGUUUACCGGCACAUUGAUUAGGUGAUAGUGACGUUGAGUGCACCACGUUAAUUCGCAUGGUUAUUCACAAAUUUGUUUGCGAUCCUCGGCAUCCCAGUCGCAAAUGUGAAAUGCAUAUCGAGAUUUAAACAUGCCAUUGAAAAGUUCAAUGAAUCUCAAAGAUCUAGGAGUUUUCAAUACAUUUAAAACCUAAAUUGCUUUUUCGUUUUUCAUGGUGAGAAUUAGUGAAUCGUCAUUCACUUACCUUCAAGUUAUUUACUUUUAGAGUACGGCAUCCCUUUCUAAGUUGUAAAUAAUGUUGUUGGAUCCUAGCCCUAAUUUCUCAUUUGGGUGUUUAAUUAGGGAUUCAUUUCUAAUCAAGCUUUGUCCCUUUCUUUUUCAGAUGUCUGCUAACAACAACAACAACAACGCUUCUGGGUCAUUCUCGUUGAUGAACUUGUGUCAGAAAGUGACAUUUGAUGGUUCAAACUUCAACGAGUGGAUGAGAUACAUUCGCAUGAUCACACGCUACGAGGACAAAGAAUAUGUCCUCGAUGAAAAGCUUGAGAAGAUCAUCCCAGAUGUUGCUACUCCUGAGGAACUGGCCGCCUUUGAGGCCCACGAGCGUGAUGCCACGAAAGUUCACUGCAUCAUGCUGGCCACCAUGAACCUCGAACUCCAAAAGUCCUAUGAGGACAUGUAUCCAUAUGAAAUGCAUCAGGAUUUGCUGGACAGGUAUCACCAGAGCGCGAGGCAAGAGCGCUAUGAGAUCAUUACUAACAUGAUCACCGCUAAGAUGGGGAGUGGAGAAUCCCUAACCUCUCAUUUGCAGAAAAUGCAGAGGUAUGUUGAUCGUCUUCUCAAACUUAAUGUUAAGUUUGAUGAGGAUUUGGCUAUCGACAUAAUCCUCCACUCCUUGCCCUCCUGCUACAAUCAGUUUAGGAUGACCUACCAUAUGAACAAAGAGGAGGUCUCCUUGAGCAAGCUCCAAGGACUCUUGAGGACUGCUGAGAGCAACCUCAAAGACAAAUCCGUUGCACCGUCACCUGCUGUGGCCGCUCCUGUGAUGGCGAUAGGUCAAGGAAAGGGUAAAAAGAGGAAGGCUCCAUGUAAGAGCCACCAUAAGGGGAAACCCCGUGAUGGUUCAUCCUCAAGUGGGACCAAAGCAGGCCCCAUUAAACCCUCUUCCGACCCUAAAGAAGCAGAGUGCUUCUACUGCCACCAAAAGGGCCACUGGAAGCGAAGCUGCCCACAAUAUCUGCAGGACAUAAGAGAUGGGAAGAUCAAGCCCACAUUUGCAGGUAUGUAUUCUAUUAAAUCUAAUAACUCAUCAUUUGCUACUUCAUGGGUUCUUGAUACAGGAUGUGGUUACCACAUUUGUUCUGAUUUGCAGGGCCUAAAAAGAAGUAGGGAGAUGGAGCAUGGGAAGAUGAACCUGAUUAUGGGAAACAGAAGAUCUUCGCCUGUGACCAAAGUCGGUGUUUAUUCUUUAGUGUUAAGUAAUGGGUUAGGAAUAGAUUUAGAGAAUUGCUGUUAUUCGCCAGAUAUGGCAAGAAACAUUAUUUCUUUUCAUGGGUUGUUUAGACAAGGUUUCAGAUAUUCUUUUGAUAAUAGUAAUGGUUCUAUUAAUGUUUAUUUGAAUGGUGUCUUUUAUUUCAAUGCAUUACCUUGUAAUGGGAUUUAUGAAUCAGUGAUGAUUGUUGAUAAUUUUGGAAAUAAUGUUUUGAAUAUUGAUUCGUCUACUAGUCUAGACAAAGCAUGCUUGUGGCAUUGUCGCCUUGGCCAUGUCAACAAGAAACGCAUAGCCCAACUCCAAAAGGAUGGAGUGUUGGAGUCAUUCGACCUUAGGGACGAUGACACGUGUGAGUCUUGUUUACUUGGGAAGAUGACCAAGUCACCCUUUACUGGCACUUGUGAAAGGGGUGAGGGUUUAUUGGAUCUCAUACACACCGAUGUGUGUGGGCCCUUUAGAUCCACCACAAGGGAUGCUUGCCGCUUCUACGUGACUUUUACAGAUGAUUAUAGCAGAUAUGGAUAUAUCUACUUGAUCAAGCAAAAGUCGGAAACCUUUGAAAAGUUCAAAGAGUUUAAGAAUGAAGUGGAGAAUCAGCUGGGCAGGAAAAUCAAGAUGCUUCGGUCAGACCGAGGAGGAGAGUACCUAAGUCUUGAGUUUCACGACUAUCUAAAAGAAUGCGGAAUCGUUUCGCAAUUGACGCCUCCGAGAACGCCACAAUUGAAUGGUGUGGCUGAGAGACGUAAUCGGACCUUGUUGGACAUGGUUCGUUCUAUGAUGAGUCGGACUUCGUUACCAAUAGCUUUCUGGGGGUAUGCCUUAGAGACUGCCGCCCAUAUACUUAACUUAGUUCCCACUAAGAAGGUUUCCAAGACUCCUCACGAGAUGUGGACAGGGAAGGCUCCCUCGUUGGCACAUAUCAAGGUUUGGGGUUGUGAGGCUUUCGUAAGACGAGAGACUCACGACAAACUAGAACCUCGUAGUGAGAAGUGUUAUUUCAUCGGCUAUCCGCAGAAGUCUUUUGGCUACCUUUUCUAUAGACCGAGUGACAAUGUUGUCUUCGUUGCUAGAAGAGGAGUUUUCCGAGAAAGGGAAUUGAUAGGCCAAGAAGACAGUGGGAGGCAAAUUGAACUUGAAGAAAUUCAAGAUCAAAGCGAUGAAGGAACCUCUGACACUGGCACUCAACUUGAGGAGGAAACUCCUGUUGAACCUGUUGACGUGUCCCUACCUCUUCGACGUUCCACUAGGGCUAGCGUUCCACCCCAGUUUUAUGGUUUUCAUAUUACUACUGAAGGGGAUACAUUUAUUAGUGAUAGUACACUAGUAAAUUUGGAUGAACCUAGCAGCUAUAAGGAAGCCAUGGCAGGCCCGGAGUCUGCAAAAUGGAAAGAGGCUAUGGACAGCGAGAUUCAGUCCAUGUACGACAACCAAGUUUGGAAUUUGGUUGAUAAUGUACCGGGUCGUAAGACAGUCGGGUGCAAGUGGAUCUUCAAGAAGAAGACGGACAUGGAUGGGAAAGUGCAUACUUAUAAAGCGCGAUUGGUUGCGAAGGGCUUUACUCAAACUCCCGGAGUUGACUAUGAUGAGACCUUCUCACCAGUUGCGAAGAUAAAGUCUAUUAGGGUGAUGCUUGCCAUAGCUGCGUUUCAUGAUUAUGAAAUAUGGCAGAUGGACGUGAAAACCGCUUUCCUUAAUGGAAAGUUGGCUGAGGAUGUCUACAUGAAUCAGCCAGAGGGUUUUGUCGAUGUGAAGCAUCCGAAUAGAGUAUGCAAGCUUGAGAAAUCUAUUUAUGGAUUGAAACAAGCAUCUCGCAGAUGGAAUCUUUGUUUUGACGAGAAGGUUAAAGAGUUUGGCUUUCUGCGAAGCGAAGAUGAAUCUUGUGUGUAUGUCAAAGCCAGUGGGAGUAUAGUAAGCUUCCUCGUAUUGUAUGUCGACGACAUACUACUCAUAGGAAACGAUAUCCCAACCUUGCAGGAAGUCAAGUCCUGGCUUGGGAAAUGCUUCGCUAUGAAGGACCUCGGAGAAGCCGCUUAUAUUCUGGGAAUAAGAAUAGUAAGAAACAGGGAAAAGAGACUGAUAGGACUCAGUCAGGAUACAUACUUGGAAAAGGUACUAAAGCGUUUUAGUAUGGAAAAUUCCAAGAAAGGGGAGUUGCCAAUCCAAAGCAAUACCAAGCUGAGUAAGACUCAGAGCCCGAGUACAGAGACAGAGAUAGCUGAUAUGAGCCGAGUACCUUACGCUUCCGCAGUAGGCUCUAUCAUGUACGCUAUGACUUGUACUCGCCCUGAUGUGGCCUUCGCUUUAAGCAUGGUCAGCAGAUAUCAAGGGAAUCCUGGUAGAGCACAUUGGAUUGCAGUUAAGAAUAUUCUUAAGUACCUUCGGAGGACCAAGGAAUGGUUUCUAGUCCUCGGUGGGAGUGAUGACUUAAGGGUACGAGGGUACAGUGAUGCUAGUUUUCAGACGGAUCGGGAUAACUUCCGAUCGCAGUCAGGCUGGGUCUUUACCCUAAAUGGAGGAGCAGUGACUUGGAAAAGUUCCAAGCAAGAGACCGUAGCUGAUUCAACGUGCGAAUCAGAGUAUAUUGCGGCGAGCGAAGCGUCAAAGGAGGCUAUAUGGUUGAAGAACUUCAUUGGAGACCUUGGAGUUGUGCCAUCCAUAAAAGAGCCCGUGGAAAUUUUCUGUGAUAAUGAAGGAGCGGUUGCCUUAACCAAGGAACCAAGGGAUCAUGGCAGAUCUCGACAUAUCGACAGGAAAUACCACUUUAUUAGACAUCGGGUAGAAGAGGGACUCCUCGUUGUGAAGAGGGUAUCGUCAGAAGAUAACCCAGCAGAUCCCCUUACAAAGGGACUGAGUAGGGUCAAGCAUUUGCAGCACGCUAGGAGCGUAGGGCUGAAGGACGAUAUUAGUUUAGAUUAGAUAGGUAGAAAACUUGUAAUAGAUAAUGUCAUAUUCAACAAAUGAUGAUUAAAUAAAGGUGUGUUAUUUAUAAGAAAGUUUCUAUCUUGUGUUGAUUAUUUAUCUAUUGUGUCGAUUUUGCAUGUUUUGACUUCCUGAAUAAUAAGAUUAUUCGAACAGUUCACAAUCGCUCAUAUGUUGGAAGUAGAUAUGAAGGAAGAUUGUCAUAAAUUUGUUUGUAGAUUGUCUGAAAAGUUUUAGACAUAGCAAAGGUUUGCUGCAAAGUUUAUGAGUGCUUAUGAAAUUUGUAUUGAGCAUUGAAAUAGACCCACACUUGCUGGUAUUACUUCAUGAAUGUUAUCACAAGUGAUCGCAAGAUGAUAAUAUCAUAUAAUCUUUAAACCUAGAGAUAUGGUUAUUGUUUGCUAGUUGAUUAUACAUUGAUAAUGCGAAAACGCAUCAGUAACUUGAUGUUAUAAAACGUAUUAUUGUGUGUGGUUUAACUAGUAAAUGAUAAAGGCAUAUUAGUCAACGUUUUCUGUUCCUUUUAUUCUAUGAGGAUAAAAGCGAUAUCUCGGCCACUUGAUGAUUUGGUUUGACUUAUGUGCCGGGCCCGGUCAGGAUAAAGUUGAUGUGUUCAACUGAGUUCUAUGUCGAACAAAUCAGAAAUCAAGAAAUAGAAUGCUAGACAAUAAGUAUUGUUAGCAUGAUAUCUAGAACAGAGGAUUAUACGAUCCCUUAUCUAAAGGACAGAUUAUUGGUCAGAGUUGACAGCGGCUAUUGAAAGCUACGAUUGCUAUCGGGUACGGAAGUUAUACGUGAGAUAUAGUUACUAGACUUAUCCAAGUGGGAGACUGUUGGAUUAGUGUCUAAGUCAGUAACCAUAUUUGGUAUAUACUUGACCCGAGUGUGCAUGGUCCUUUUGGGUUGCCUUCACCAAAGCAACUUGACAAGGUAAUUUGAUAUGAGAGAGGAGAUAUUAUGAUUUAUUAAUAUAUUAUAAGAAUAAUAUAUUAAAGGAGAAAUCAUAUUUAUUUAAUUAGUAUUAGUCAUAAAUUAAUUAGGAAUUAAUUUGGUGACUAAAAGAGAUUAAUUAAAUAAAAGGGUAUAAACUGUCAAAUGUGUGAUAGUUGAGUUUUGGGCUAGGAAACCUAAUGGACUAAGGGGGAACGAAAUUAUGAUGAAGGAUCAUCAUAUUUUCGUCCAAGGCCUCAUUCCAUAAGGUUCCUUGGGCUGCUUGGUGGCUAAGCUGUCCAUUAGGGUUUUGACUAAAACCUUAGCACCCUAUAGUAUAAAUACAUGCCCUAUGCUUCAAUUUAAGGCCACUUGAUUCCAAGGAAACCCUAGGGCCGAAAUUAGCAUCAUUCCCUUCUCUCUCUUAGUUGCCUUCUUGCUUCAAGGUGUUUGUGAGCCAUUAGAGGCACUACAAUUGUGGUGCUUGCUUUCAAGAGUUCAAGAGAGUUCAAGAAAUCAAGGAAACUAGUUGUUAUUGCUAUAUAACAACAAAGGUAUGUUUACUACACUUCUAUGUGAUUUUCGAAAAUUAUAGAAGCAUGCCAGGGUUUUAUUUUGUGUUCAUAAAGUUGUAUGUCUCAUAGUGAAAACAUAGAUCCAACUAGGGUUGCAUGCACACAUAGGAUUGUUUGUAUAAAACCUAACA
rnacentral:lncRNA from 1 species